GGAGAGGUGGCCGAGUGGCUUAAGGCGCACGCUUGGAAAGCGUGUAUAUGUAAAUCAUAUCGGGGGUUCGAAUCCCUUUCUCUCCG
rnacentral:tRNA from 1 species